AUUGAACGCUGGCGGCAUGCCUUACACAUGCAAGUCGAACGGUAACGGGCCUUCGGGUGCCGACGAGUGGCGAACGGGUGAGUAAUACAUCGGAACGUGCCCGAUCGUGGGGGAUAACGAGGCGAAAGCUUUGCUAAUACCGCAUACGAUCUACGGAUGAAAGCAGGGGACCGCAAGGCCUUGCGCGGACGGAGCGGCCGAUGGCAGAUUAGGUAGUUGGUGGGAUAAAAGCUUACCAAGCCGACGAUCUGUGGCUGGUCUGAGAGGAUGAUCAGCCACACUGGGACUGAGACACGGCCCAGACUCCUACGGGAGGCAGCAGUGGGGAAUUUUGGACAAUGGGCGCAAGCCUGAUCCAGCCAUGCCGCGUGCAGGAUGAAGGCCUUCGGGUUGUAAACUGCUUUUGUACGGAACGAAAAGCCUUCUUUUAAUACAGGAGGGUCAUGACGGUACCGUAAGAAUAAGCACCGGCUAACUACGUG
rnacentral:rRNA from 1 species